rnacentral:rRNA from 1 species
UUUUUACAACGAAGAGUUUGAUCCUGGCUCAGGAUGAACGCUAGCGGCAGGCCUAACACAUGCAAGUCGAGGGGUAACGA